rnacentral:lncRNA from 1 species
AAGCCAUAGUGGCUAAUGUUUGCCAUGCACUUUCUGGAAGUACUGCAAAACUAUUUCUGGAACAAGAUUUCCCCAACUGAAUCCAUUUUUUAAAUGAAAUAUCUGAAGGAUACCAUUAAUGUGUCAUAUUGUCCAUCCACAUGGCAGCUGGCUCCUUGUGCUUUCCUCGCUAAACUGAUGUAAUUAAACAGGAUUGUUCCUUUUCCUCCCUGCAGCGCUUCAGUACCAAAAAGUUUCUUCAAAGAAACUCCCAGACUGUAACUUGUGCAGCUCUGCAGAGGGGAGCUCUCACUGUACUUCAAAGCGGAGAAAAUCCUGCAGCUGUCUGGAGCCCGCUUGCCCCAGGAGGUGUCACUGUUGGGACUGGCAGGUUCUUUAGAUUUAUGCAGUAGCCAUGUUUGUCAAAGUAUUUGGCACCGGUGACAUCAUCUUUGUUGAAAUGCCGGACAGCGUGAUGAGUCCCAGAUGUUAACACACACCAAAAGCAGAGAAAGAAUAAAAUCCAAAGAUAACUAUAACAGCUAUGGAGCUACUGCCAUCAGCAACAGUAGUGACAGCAGUCUCAGCCUGGAGCGCUACAUGGGGUCACAAGCCACCAUUGCAGACACUUGCGUAUGACUUGUGGUAUGUGGAUUGCAACUUGGGAAUGCCUGUGUUGGAGCUCUUAAUCCAUUUAAAUACAACUGUG